rnacentral:lncRNA from 1 species
AGUUUAGUGAAUGAUAGGUCUUGCUCCCUGCUGUACCCUGUUUUGGUGUAAAAUAGUUUACGCUGAUGUCUGGUUUGGUGUGAGAGGCAGAAAGUGAAAUGGAUGGAUUUUAAGAUUUUAAAGAAUAAUGCUGCUUUAUUAUAAAUAGGACAUGGUGCGAGCACUGGAUACUAAAGGCCUAAAAAUCCUUGGCAGGCAAAGGAUUUGUGAGCAUAAAUCUGGAAACAGCAGCCAGGCAGCAGUGGGCAUGGAACAGUGUGAGGAACACUGCAGCAGCAGCUUCCAUGCAGCUGGGCAGGCAGGUGCACUACAGCAAGAGGCAGUGGAGUUGAUGAAAGCUCUAGAAAUCCUGCUUGGGAGAGCUCAGCCUAAGAACAUGAAACGAGAGAUGGAGCAGCAGAUCCAUGGACAGGAUAUGGUGGCAGUUUUACCCUCACUGCACAGUGAAAGUAAAGCAAAAGUAGUGGAAGGGCAGGUGAGCUGUAGAUGUUUGGUGUCAGGCCAUCCCUCACCUUUAUGCUGUUUUUUCUCCCACCUGCCCAUUUCUUUAACUCUUAGGCCUUCCUUAUUUAGGAUUAUAAGCUGCCUGAACAAGAAGAGCUCUUCAGUAGGAAAGGUGAUGUCUUCAGCUUCCCUGUGCAUGAAGAACGUGGUAAGUGUGCCAUGGUACUCCUCAAAGAUGAUGGUAGAAGACUGUCUCCUUGAAACCUACGGACCCUUACACCUCGUUCUUAAGCAACCACUUGGAGGGAAGAGAUUGAGUGUCAGGGAGUAAAUUAGAGGUGACAGGCAGCUGUCCUGUGCAAGAGAGCGAGAUGGAGCAUCCAGCUGCAUCACUUACCUCAAUAGCUGUCAUCUUCCUUUUCAGAGAAACGCUUCAGAGGCAGUUCCUCAGAGGAUAUGAGGAGUACCCUCAUCCCCAUGGAUCCAGCCACUUUGUCUCCUCACCAGUUUGUGGUGUACCGCUUUGGCUGUGCAGUGUUGCAUCAGUUAACCAGAGCCUUCUCAUGUCCUGCUUUGCUGCUCAUGCUGGCUCAGUCCAUUCCUGCCCAAAGUCCAGAUCAAGCUCUUCUCCCAGGCUUUGGAGGCUCCUACUAUGAUGCCAUUAACAAGAACCUGUAUGUGCAUGCAGCAAGGCUGGAGGAUGCUGGGGAGUUUAUUGCUGUCCUGCUGAACACUGUGGCAUGGAUUGCAGCAGGUUGUCCCUCAGCUGGUACUGCUCAUUCCUGCUUUAUGAUGGAGCUCAACAGAGCUAUUGUGAUUCUUGCCAAUGCCUUUUUCCAGGUUUCAUGGGGGAUAGCAGACAAGGUAAAUAGGGUGAUUUCCUCUAAUGGCAGUGACUACUCCAUAAGGUGUUAUUGGGCAGAAAUAGAUUCUCCAGUUUAUAAGGUGGAUUUCUACUACGUUUUUUUUCCUACUUCUACAUCACUAGUGCAAUUAGAGAUGGUAAGAUUAAAUAAUAUGAAGCAGAAAUGGGGAAACUCUUCAGGUGUACAGAGUUGGAGUAAUGCCUCCUUGAGAAGGGAUUCAUCUGCACUGCUCGUGCACUGGCAUCUUAUGCAGUAAAGGAUUUAAGUUCUACAGCUAAGUCUUGGCUUGCUAGGAUAGUUGAUAACCAGAAACUGUUCACUGGAAAGGAAGCAUCUUUUCUCAGUUUAAUUUGUUAAUUUGCCUGCAAAACUUAGCAGAUGAUGGCUGGGGAGAAUCAUCUCUGGGACUGUGAUGCUCUCUGUGCAUUGUUUGAAUGCGUUGGGUUUUGUGUGUUUUAUGGCUCCAACUUC